AGCAGCCGCGGUAAUUCCAGCUCCAAUAGCGUAUAUUAAAGUUGUUGCAGUUAAAAAGCUCGUAGUUGAAUUUCGGGAUCAAGGAAUCGGUCAUGCCUCGGUAUGUACUGGUUUUAUUGGUUCUCACCUUCUAAAGAACCAUGAUGUCAUUCAUUUGAUGUUAUGGGGAAUUAGGACUGUUACCUUAAAAAAUUAGAGUGUUUAAAGCAGGCUUACGCUUGAAUACAUUAGCAUGGAAUAAUGAAAUAGGACAUCAGAUUCUAUUUUGUUGGUUUCUAGGAUCGAUGUAAUGAUUAAUAGGGAUAGUUGGGGGCAUUAGUAUUCAAUUGUCAGAGGUGAAAUUCUUGGAUUUAUUGAAGACUAACUACUGCGAAAGCAUUUGCCAAGGAUGUUUUCAUUAAUCAAGAACGAAAGUUAGGGGAUCGAAGACGAUCAGAUACCGUCGUAGUCCUAACCAUAAACUAUGCCGACUAGGGAUCGGAUGAUGUUUAUUUUUAGUGACUCAUUCGG
rnacentral:rRNA from 1 species